CCUCCCCUAUUUUUAGUUGACUUUUUGCAAUUCCUCCUCCAUCUAAACCUUGAAAAACUGCAGGAAGUGCAGAAGCAUCUUUUGAAAGUACCAUUCUGCCCGUUGCCACGAAGGAAUGGAACCAAUGAUCCCAGCAAGAGGCAUGAAAAUCAGAAUAAUCCCCAUUCUUUUCCAUUGAAGUUUUUGUAGCAGAUGAAGAGAAGACGAAGAAAACUUCAAGCACCCAUGUACAGAGGGACCCAUGGUCCAGCGUGCAGCGGCGGAGACGAGGGGAUGGGAAGACACCCACAAGAGGGGCAGCACGUGUGCGGCAUCCGAGCACAGGGGCAGAGGGGGCAUCCGUGUAGGACCCAGAGUUCGCGACCUCAUCUGUGAUCGAGAAAUCCCGGAAGCUGCGAAGACCCUGUCUUCACUGAACAUCAUUUGAAACAAAUUGAUAUUUUUGAAUCUUGGCAAUACUCCGGGGACAACAUUACCAGCAAUGAAAUUUCUUCCAAAAAUCCAGAGAAUGCAGUGAGAGACUAAUCUGGGCUCAGUUAAUUAUAUGUUUGUAAAGCACUCUGCGGGGUGUUUUUUUCCCUCACAUAUUUAUUUUUAACACAAACAUAUACACUCCGCUGACGGCAGUGCAACCAUGGUCAUAGCCUCUAAACUCCAUGAGAGUUUAUCACCUGCAUUUAUUUAUUGAGCAUUCAACAAGUAUUUACUGAGCGCCAGCCUGAGACACGCUUGACUCCUACCUUCAUGGAGCUUAAGUUCUAAUAAACGGCGUUCACUGAA